ACACAGGAAGUCGUCGUAACUUAACUGUACAUGCUGAAAUCUGUACCAAUCUUUGCAUGCUUGAUAACUGUCCUGCCGAGAAUACAUCCACGCGGCAAUAUUCAUUUGUAGUCGUAGCGCCAAGUGCUCUGCGGCGCCACAAAGGAGACAUAGGAAGUGACGUAUAACACCUUCAUGCAGGUUCCGAAGCGCAUAGGAAAUUCACAGCCGUGCUGGCAGAGCUCCAGAAUCUGCAACGCGGCUGUCUCACUGCUCAACGUGCUACAAGUGCGAGGGCCCGCCCAAUGCUGCUUGCAGCUUGAAAUGCGUUAUGAACUUCCAAGCUCAAUAAAAUGGAUCCCUGGCACAAACAGCAAGCAAACCGUGUGCUGAUAGUUGCAAUAAAAGGGAGUAGGCCAAUCUACUGGUCGGGCUACUGCUCUCCUUUGCAACGAUGGAGUCACAGGGAAUGAGAUGAGAUCCACGCCUUCUGAGUUGUCUAAAAAACACCUGAGAACAGUCACCUGAGAAUGACGCCUAAGGAGGACCCUCUCUGGGAGUACAUUACCCAAUACAAGCGCUGCAGUCGACUGACUUAGAAGGAAAACAACAUAAAGAGAGGAGGAACCAUAUGAGUUCAACAAGUUCGAGGAGAAUUCUUGACAUUCUAGCAGAGCCUGUUAUGGAACAGCUCACCUUGUUGCUUUGACCUACAGGGAAAAGAGGUCACAUAACGCUGUAAACAGAGCACGGUGCCUCAACUGAAAAACAUCUCAUGCCUCAGGGAAGCUUGCAAAUGUUUACAGGGGGACUAUAAGUCACACUGACUGUCUGAAACAUGUAAACUGAAUAGCAUACACGAAAUAAAACACAGCCUUGAAAAUAAACGAGUUAAACCGUAACAAUGAAAG